rnacentral:rRNA from 1 species
UACGUAGGGUGCAAGCGUUAAUCGGAAUUACUGGGCGUAAAGCGUGCGCAGGCGGUUGUGCAAGACCGAUGUGAAAUCCCCGGGCUCAACCUGGGAAUGGCAUUGGUGACUGCACGGCUAGAGUGUGUCAGAGGGGGGGUAGAAUUCCACGUGUAGCGGUGAAAUGCGUAGAGAUGUGGAGGAACACCAGUGGCGAAGGCGACUCUUUUGGCCUGUAACUGACGCUGAGGCGCGAAAGCGUGGGGGAGCAAACAGG